rnacentral:rRNA from 1 species
AGGACGAACGCUGGCGGCGUGCUUAACACGAUGCAAGUCGAACGGGGAUAGUUGGAUAGAGAGCUUCGGCAGGAAAUUGAGUAAUUCGAGUGGCGGACGGGUGAGUAACGCGUGAGCAACCUGUCCCAGACAGGGGGAUAACACUUGGAAACAGGUGCUAAUACCGCAUAAGACCACGGGAUCACAUGGUUCUGGGGUAAAAGGAGCAAUCCGGUUUGGGGUGGGCUCGCGUCCGAUUAGCCAGUUGCGGGGUAACGGCCCACCAAAGCGACGAUCGGUAGCCGACCUGAGAGGGUGAACGGCCACAUUGGAACUGAGAGACGGUCCAAACUCCUACGGGAGGCAGCAGUGGGGAAUAUUGGGCAAUGGGCGAAAGCCCUGACCCAGCAACGCCGCGUGAGUGAAGAAGGCCUUCGGGUUGUAAAGCUCUGUUAUAGUUGACGAAGGAAGUGACGGUAGGCUAUAAGGAAGCCCCGGCUAACUACGUGCCAGCCGCCGC